UACAGAGGGUGCAAGCGUUUAAUCGGAAUUACUGGGCGUAAAGCGCGCGUAGGUGGUUUGUUAAGUUUGAAUGUGAAAUCCCCGGGCUCAACCUGGGAACUGCAUGCAAAACUGGCAAGCUAGAGUAUGGUAGAGGGUGGUGGAAUUUCCUGUGUAGCGGUGAAAUGCGUAGAUAUAGGAAGGAACACCAGUGGCGAAGGCGACCACCUGGACUGAUACUGACAUGAGGUGCGAAAGCGUGGGGAGCAAACAGGA
rnacentral:rRNA from 1 species